rnacentral:tRNA from 1 species
GGGAAUGUGGCUUAGUGGUAAAGUACUUGCCUAGCAUGCAUGAGGCCCUGGGUUUAAUUCCUCAGUAUCA